AUUGAACGCUGGCGGCGUGCCUAACACAUGCAAGUCGAGCGGCAGCGGGCCCGCAAGGGUGCCGGCGAGCGGCGGACGGGUGAGCAAUACAUAGGAAUCUGCCUCAGAGCGGGGGAUAGCCAGGGGAAACCCUGAUUAAUACCGCAUGAUGUCGAGAGACCAAAGUGGGGGACCGUAAGGCCUCACACUCUGAGAUGAGCCUAUGUCGGAUUAGCUAGUUGGCGGGGUAACGGCCCACCAAGGCGACGAUCCGUAGCUGGUCUGAGAGGACGAGCAGCCACACCGGAACUGAGACACGGUCCGGACUCCUACGGGAGGCAGCAGUGGGGAAUAUUGGACAAUGGGCGAAAGCCUGAUCCAGCGACGCCGCGUGGGUGAAGAAGGCCUUCGGGUUGUAAAGCCCUUUAAGCCGGGACGAAAAAAUCGGCGAUAACAUCGCCGGUCUUGACGGUACCGGAAGAAUAAGCACCGGCUAACUCUGUGCCAGCCGCCGCCUGUAAGAC
rnacentral:rRNA from 1 species